AGAACAUUCGGGUCGUCGGUCUACCAAUCAAUAUCACCUGCUCGGUAAAAGAUCAUCCCUUCAUCAU
rnacentral:pre_miRNA from 1 species